AUUGAAUCUCUGAUCUUCCUUUCUAGUUUCAAGGUCAUGUUUAGGACCUUUUCCAUAGUUGGAAGAGGAUCCAUAACUAAAACUCCUGAUUUCAC